rnacentral:rRNA from 1 species
UACGUAGGGUGCGAGCGUUAAUCGGAAUUACUGGGCGUAAAGGGUGCGCAGGCGGCGUCGCAAGUCAGGCGUGAAAUCCCCGGGCUUAACCUGGGAACUGCACUUGAAACUACGAUGCUGGAGUAUGGCAGAGGGAGGUGGAAUUCCACGUGUAGCGGUGAAAUGCGUAGAGAUGUGGAGGAACACCGAUGGCGAAGGCAGGUCUCUGGGCUGACACUGACGCUCAUGCACGAAAGCGUGGGGAGCAAACAGG